UAUGGUUAUGUUUCCAUUAACAGGAGUGACAGUACAUAUGCCUAAUUUUAUUUUAUAAAUAAAAUACAUUUUACUUCAUUAUUAUAUGCUUCAUUUGAGCGUUUAUUAUGCGCUUCUUUGCAGUCAAUUAAGGAACAUUAUAAAAACUUUGGAUACCAUAUGUUAUGGAGCAUUCAUCAUAUCAGUCCUUAUUCACUCCAGAAUAUAGCGAUACCUAAAGGAAGUAUAAAACUGUCUUUUCCACCGGAAACAAAAGUAGUGUGCUGCUGUUGCUAAACGACAGAUUCAUGACAAUGAAUUGGAAAGUAACAACAUAGGAGAUACUUUGCUGAUUAAUGAUAUAUUGUGUGUCAUUUUAAAAAUUUGUUUGUAUUAUUCAACAAAUGAAAUAGAUUGGAGGUUAAUUGUGA